rnacentral:lncRNA from 1 species
AUUGCCAAGGCCGUAGCCCAAAAAAAUUAAGAAGAAAAAAGUCCAUUGUCCAACUUUCACCGCCAUUACAUACAGCAAGACAGAAAAAACGUAACAUCGGAUCAUUCAGAUUCUGAGCUUCAGACUAAGAUCUGAUCUUGUAAAAAAUGUUUUCAUAUACAUGAGUGUUUUCCUCGCUUUUUCGAUUCGAAAAAGAAAUAAAAAAAUUAUAAUUACUAUAGUCUGCUAAUAAAGAUAUAUACAACAUAGGAAUUUUAUCAUCAUAGAAGCUAAUUAUUUUAUGGAAAGUCUUUUAAGUACAACGUUUCGAAAAGUUUUACCUGAGAUUCGAUACCUUUUCAAUCUAAUUCGCGCCUCUAAUACUAACCAGCACAAUUUUUCGCCAACCCACCGCUAUGCUAAUCUAAAAACAAUACUACUCAUACUCUACAACAAAAAUAAACUCCUAGGUUGAAUAAUCCAAUGUCAUAACAUACUAAAUUUGGCAAAGGAAACAUCAUAAAAUCAUACUACACAAUAAAACAUUUUUUGCAAUAUGCGAAAAACUUUCUUAUUUACUGUAUUUAUUUCGGUAUCGCUAACGCUCACCCACACACGAGUAUUUGCCAAGAACAGUGCACUCCAUACAGAUGUACUGGAUAUAGAAAUCGAAAUGGAAUACUACAACUGAUCCUUAACCUUUUGACUGCCACCGGAAAAAAGACGUUAUUCUCCAUAUGCCAGUGAAAUAUUAGACCCAUAAGAUGUGUAUGAAGAAAACAAGUUUAUUGGUGAAAAAACAUUUGUGAAUAAAUUCAGAUAUCAAACAAUUAUUCCAUACUACAGAAGAUUGAGAAGCCUUCGCAAUGGUGAUCACCAAUGUCGGAUAAUUUUGAUAUGGCACGUGAAGAAGAUGCAUUUGCGACCGUGCAAG